UGGAGAGUUUGAUCCUGGCUCAGGACGAACGCUGGCGGCAUGCCUAAUACAUGCAAGUCGAGCGGACUUGAUGAGAAGCUUGCUUCUCUGAUAGUUAGCGGCGGACGGGUGAGUAACACGUAGGCAACCUGCCCUCAAGCUUGGGACAACUACCGGAAACGGUAGCUAAUACCGAAUAGUUGUUUUCUUCUCCUGAAGARAACUGGAAAGACGGAGYAAUCUGUCACUUGGGGAUGGGCCUGCGGCGCAUUAGCUAGUUGGUGGGGUAACGGCUCACCAAGGCGACGAUGCGUAGCCGACCUGAGAGGGUGAUCGGCCACACUGGGACUGAGACACGGCCCAGACUCCUACGGGAGGCAGCAGUAGGGAAUCUUCCGCAAUGGGCGAAAGCCUGACGGAGCAAUGCCGCGUGAGUGAUGAAGGUUUUCGGAUCGUAAAGCUCUGUUGCCAGGGAAGAACGCUUGGGAGAGUAACUGCUCUCAAGGUGACGGUACCUGAGAAGAAAGCCCCGGCUAACUACGUGCCAGCAGCCGCGGUA
rnacentral:rRNA from 1 species